AUCGUCGUCCAAUUCUUUGUCAGCUGGGGCUAUCGCUGGGAUUACGAUUGGUUGUGCUGCUUUUGUAGUUAUUCUUUCUUUUGGGCUUUACAGGUUCUGGCUAAACAAGAAGUUGAAAGAUCAAGAAGAGGAUGAGAUCGAAGAUUGGGAGCGUGAAUACUGGCCUCAUCGAUAUUCAUAUGAAGAGCUAAGCCAAGCCACAAACGGAUUCUCCCAAGAUCAGCUCCUGGGUUCUGGAGGAUUUGGUAAAGUAUACAAGGGAACCCUAUCAAACAGCACGGAAAUUGCAGUCAAAUGUGUGAACCACGACUCCAAACAAGGCCUGAGAGAGUUCAUGGCAGAAAUCUCGAGCAUGGGUAGGCUCCAACACAAGAACCUAGUGCAAAUGAGAGGCUGGUGCAGAAAAUCCAAUGAGCUCAUGCUUGUCUAUGAUUACAUGCCCAAUGGCAGUCUCGAUCGUUACAUAUUCAACAAGCCGAAGAAGCUUUUGAACUGGCAACAACGCCGCCAAGUCCUCGCCGAUGUAGCCGAAGGGCUAAACUAUCUUCACCAUGGCUGGGACCAAGUGGUGAUACACAGGGAUAUUAAAUCGAGCAACAUAUUGUUGGACUCGGAGAUGCGGGGCCGGCUUGGAGACUUUGGUCUUGCAAAGCUGUACAGUCACAAUGAAGUACCUAACACGACGCGAGUAGUGGGAACAUUGGGAUACUUGGCGCCUGAACUGGCAACGAUUGCUGUACCAACGGCGGCAAGUGAUGUAUAUAGUUUUGGAGUAGUAAUACUAGAGGUGGCCAGCGGUAGGAGACCGAUAGAGAUGGGGCGGGAUGAAGAGGAGGAUAGGGUGCUUAUUGAUUGUGUGAGGGAAUUGUAUGUCGAAGGGAAGGUGGUGGAGGCGGCGGAUGAGAGGAUACAGGGGGAGUACGGGGUGGAGGAGAUGGAGAUGGUAUUGAAGAUUGGGUUGGCAUGUUGCCACCCGGAUCCCCAGAGGAGACCUAGCAUGAAAGAGGUGGUGGCCGUUUUGGUGGGGGAGGAUGUGGCGGGUGCGGCCCUGCGCCGGCGGAAUUGUUGAGUGACUUGGCUCGGGGUGCUACAGGAGACAAUAAUGAUGACGG
rnacentral:misc_RNA from 1 species